GCCAGCAGCAGCAGCAUAUAUCACACUGACAGCGUGCAGGAGGAUGUCCUAUGAAGCUCUCUGUAGCAGCACAGCCCACAUCCCAGGCAGCAGUCUCCUAUCCUACAGACGUAACCCAUCUAUAACAACUGAUUAUCAAGUUCGAGAAUGUGCCAGUGGUUCCUUAACAUUUUCUCAAGAAGUUGGUGAUGACUAUUGUAUUGCUUUAUAAAGGCAAUAUGAAAAUCCUUUUUUAAUUCUUUCUGUUUGUACUGGGUCAUGGAACUGUUAUCUGUUUUUGCUAUGUGUUCGAUUUGUUUUUGUAGCUGUUUUUUGUUGUAGCCCUUUUCUACAAACUUUCUUUUUAUGCUUUGACUUUGAAUGAGAAAGGUCUCUUUUUCUGAAUAAUUAUGUGUUAUUCUUCUGAAUUGUCCGCCGAGGAUAUUCUCGAGCCAUUUUCUGUGAUGGUAACAUUUUGUGGAUAAUGCAUUGUUGUUAUUAUAGUGUUGUUAUUAAUGAAGAUCUAAGAAAAUCACCAUUUCUUUCCUUGUUGUUGAAGUAAAUUCUAGACCAUAGCUACUAUUAUUAAUGUAUUUGAUCAAUUCUUUUAGUAUUGCUUCAGGUUUGUCCCAUAUAAGAAACAGGUCAUAUAUACCUGUGCCAAUAUUUCUGUAUAGGUUGUGGUUCCAGGGUUUUUUUCCUCCCAACUUUCUACAGACAUAUUCACAUAACAUGUAGCAAAUGAUGUGCCCAUUGGUGCGCCCUUUAUUUGAUUGUAAAAGUCUCCAUUAUACCAGAAGUAAUUGUGAUGCAGUGUAAAAUCAAUUCCAUCAAUUAAAAAGAUUAUUUGAUCA